ACACAUGCAAGUCGAGCGGUAACAGAAAGUAGCUUGCUACUUUGCUGACGAGCGGCGGACGGGUGAGUAAUGCUUGGGAACAUGCCUUGAGGUGGGGGACAACAGUUGGAAACGACUGCUAAUACCGCAUAAUGUCUACGGACCAAAGGGGGCUUCGGCUCUCGCCUUUAGAUUGGCCCAAGUGGGAUUAGCUAGUUGGUGAGGUAAUGGCUCACCAAGGCAACGGUCCCUAGCUGGUUUGAGAGGAUGAUCAGCCACACUGGAACUGAGACACGGUCCAGACUCCUACGGGAGGCAGCAGUGGGGAAUAUUGCACAAUGGGGGAAACCCUGAUGCAGCCAUGCCGCGUGUGUGAAGAAGGCCUUCGGGUUGUAAAGCACUUUCAGUUGUGAGGAAAAGUUAGUAGUUAAUACCUGCUAGCCGUGACGUUAACAACAGAAGAAGCACCGGCUAACUCCGUGCCAGCAGCCGCGGUAAUACGGAGGGUGCGAGCGUUAAUCGGAAUUACUGGGCGUAAAGCGCACGCAGGCGGUUUGUUAAGCUAGAUGUGAAAGCCCCGGGCUCAACCUGGGAUGGUCAUUUAGAACUGGCAGACUAGAGUCUUGGAGAGGGGAGUGGAAUUCCAGGUGUAGCGGUGAAAUGCGUAGAUA
rnacentral:rRNA from 1 species